ACUCAGGUGUGCAGCAGGUCGAGGGAGGAGAGAGAGCCAGAGAGAGACAACAUGGCCGCACAUAAUUUAGUCCAGUCAGCAACUUGAGAAUCAACCGUGCAGAAGUUAAAUCCUCCUCUCCAGACAUUUCUUGGUCCAUGACGUCCCCCCUUAAGGAGCGCCUCUUCAGCGGUUUCUGUAAGCCGAUGCUUUCUUGCUGGAGUGUGGAGGGAGUCGGCGCAUGGAGAGAGGGGGGGGCACCCUGACGAAGCAUGGAGGAGGAGGAGGAAGAAUGAGGCGUGAGAGUGAAUCAAAGAGCUGACUCGUCUCGUGCUGUGAGAUGGAAACAGUCAAAGCAGAUGGAUGGCGUGCUGCAGAGGGACAAACGUGAAGCUUCCUGUCUCACGGCACAUGAGAAAAUAAAAUCUUAAUUCUUCUCACCAGCUCGCCUGCACAGCCUCGAUGUCGCUCACCAAGUUCUGGGCCAAACAAAUCCCGAAAAUCUGAAGGAAUCAAAAACAAAAGCCGAGGACUUUAAAGAAAGAAGAGACAAAAGAACGCAGUGAUUUCUUAAACGGCGUGUGGAGGGAGGACCGACCUGCAGCAGAGCGACUCCGAUGAAGAUCCCGGCCACCAGCGUGAGGUUGUCCUGCAGCCACUUCUCAAACUGCGGCACGCAGCCUUUCACGUUGAUGUAAUCCUUCUGCUCCGAGUCCUGACACCAAACACAAAGUCGUCACAUUCACGGCUUCAACACAAACACCAUUAAGAAAUCUGGCCUUCUAGUCUUUCAGUUACAUUAAAAAGUUAUUCAUUUAACCGAGGGUUGACCCCGAACACUCCGCCAGAGCCUCAGUCCACUGCCGGUCUUGUGCUGCAUUCAGGUGCUGCUCGGGUUGUCCCAGUUUCACAGUUGGGAAGUCGUUCUUCUGACUUCAGUGUGUUCAAGUGAUUUCAGAAAUCGUCUUUUGCCCGCCAUGUUGAUGAAGAAUAUGUCGUCAAAUCAGGGAUAUCGGGCACCUCAUUCUUUUUUCCAACAUGUCCGACACCACAUGAAGGCACCAUCACAGUGGAGCACACGGAUCAUUCCAGUCCAGCCUCAGAGGGGUGUUUGAAGUCUGAGGUGACAUAGUUUAGUCCGUUUUCUCCGAACAGAUCACGACUCAGAGCCUCUCUAUAAAAGCUUUGAAUGUAGAAGCCACUCGUUCUUUAAAUCAACCUCCUGAGUGUGUGCAUGAAGAAAUCACCCUGAAGUUUUGACAGAAGCAGCAUGUCCACGUGUUCAUUGGCUACAACACGUCAGACAUUGGCACAGUUGCGUGCAAUCGGCCGGGUUCAUGGUGCAUUCAUGUAGUGUUGGACAUGUUUGAAAAAACGAGUUUCUGAGAUGUAAACUGCAAGUGAACGACUGCUCAAUUCAGAACAACAACUUGGAAACCCGGAGAAGAAUCAGGUGCCCGACUUCUCGACUUGACAUAUUCUUCAUCAAAAUGGUGGGCAAAAUAUGUUAACAGACUUUUUAUGAAUUCACAUUGCACAUCAACUUUUUGCUCAAAUAAAACUCAUAAAAGAGACAUUCACACGUCUUCUUCUUCGUAGUGUCCAUGCUGUUUUUUUUUUUUUUUGCUGUUGUU